GGUCCAUCAGGGAAUACCACAAACGCUUUUGACCUGACAACCGGGUCGACUGGGUGGGAGCUUGCGCUCGUUGGCGCACAGAGUUCAAACGAAAGUGCUGUUGCAGACAGUAAGCUGGCUGGCGGUUUGGAUAAAUUGACACUGGACAGUCUGUACGACGCUGCGAUCGCCAGGUCGACUCCGACUGGGAACUACCACUUGGGGCAGGUGGCACCGAAUCCCUUCGAGGCUGCGCAAUAUACCCAGGACCCUUUCUUUGCGUCCCACACGAUAGCCCCUCCGGCUAAUGUGCAGAUGGCAGCAAUGGCGCAGCAGCAAGCCAUGCAUCCAAGCGGGCAGGACAGCAGCAACCCG
rnacentral:misc_RNA from 1 species